GGGCUUGCAGGGGUGCCUGGGUCGGGGGCUGCAGGUGGGAGUGAGCAAAUGUGCUGUCUCGCCACCUCGGGACAGGUGGUAGGGCCUCUGACACAGAGUGGUCCUUCCUGCUGUUCACAGCUCAGCUCACCGUGGGCUGACCAUAGGUAGGUGACAGUCCCCUUUCUGGCCUCGGUUUCCCUGUCUGUAAAUUGGGGAUAAUAAGCUCAAGAGCUGUCCCUGCCAGAACCCAGUGGACAGAAAUCCAGCAGCUGCUAUGGGAAGCGACCCGCCCAGCCUGCCCCGCCCUGCCUGGGGAAGCAGGCCUUCUGCUUGAGGGGGACUGGGCGCAUGCUGGGCCUCUGGUCUGCGCAGUCUGCCCGGGGUCUGUGAGUGCUUGUGAGUGGGCUUCUCCAGUCUCCAGAUUCUCGUUGAAAUCCUAACGCCCCAGGCAAUGAUGUUAGGAGGCGGGGCUUCUGGGAGAUGGCAAGUUCGUGAGGCUGCAGCUCUGCUGGGGGAUCAGUGUCCUUCUACAAGCGGCUCCAGGGAGGUCCCUUGCCCCUUCCACCAUGUGAGGACCCGAGAUGGUGCCGUCUAUGAACCGGGAAGUGAGUCCUCUCCGGACGUGGAACAAGUUGGUGCCUUGAUUUUGAACUUGCAGCCUCCAGCUUCAUGGGGUUUAAGUACGAUGAUGCUGCAUUGAGACGUUGUACUGUGUGAAGUCAGGGCCUUCUGUGCAUCGGUCGAGGGUGCAAUGCACACGGCACCCCCGAGCAGCCACCCAUCCUCCCUUCCCUCCACCCUGCGAGGCCCCGUUGUCCGUCUGUCCACACUCUGCUCCAUGAGCACACGUGACUUAGCUUCGCCUUGUGAGCCGCUGCUUGGGGUGAGCAUGCUUCCUGCUGGAUGCUUCUCUAUGUAAGCACCUGCCUGAGUGUCAGCCCUCUUAAGGUGAACCGCUCCGUGUCAUUCGUACAUUCACAAGUUUGUGCCGCCAUCAUCGUGAUCGGAUUCCAAAACAUUUUCAUCACCUCCAAGAAAGCCUUGUACCUGGCAGCAGUCACUGUCUCUAUGGAUUUGCUUAUUCUGGACAUUUCAUAAAAAUAGAAUCAAA
rnacentral:lncRNA from 1 species